rnacentral:lncRNA from 15 species
AUGUGUUCAUUAGAUGUAUUUUUCUUUUAUAUUUGGGUUUACUUGCUCCCAGAAAUGAACCAGAAUAUCCGGAGACCUCCGAUGCAGUCUUUCUCCAUUCGGAGCCAGAGUCUGUGCGGUAGUGAUCGUCUACUGAGUCUAUACUGCAGUCAGCCACCAGGGGGAGAGAGAGAGAGAGAGAGAGAGAGUCUAUACUGCAGUCAGCCACCAGGGGGAGAGAGAGAGAGAGAGAGAGAGUCUAUACUGCAGUCAGCCACCAGGGGGAGAGAGAGAGAGAGUCUAUACUGCAGUCAGCCACCAGGGGGAGAUAGAGAGAGAGAGAGAGAGUCUAUACUGCAGUCAGCCACCAGGGGGCGAUAGAGAGAGAGUCUAUACUGCAGUCAGCCACCAGGGGGAGAUAGAGAGAGAUAGAGAGAGAGAGAGUCUAUACUGCAGUCAGCCACCAGGGGGAGAUAGAGAGAGA